CCUACGGGAGGCAGCAGUGAGGAAUAUUGGUCAAUGGGCGCGAGCCUGAACCAGCCAAGUAGCGUGAAGGAUGACUGCCCUCCGGGUUGUAAACUUCUUUUAUAAAGGAAUAAAGUGAGGCACGUGUGCCUUUUUGUAUGUACUUUAUGAAUAAGGAUCGGCUAACUCCGUGCCAGCAGCCGCGGUAAUACGGAGGAUCCGAGCGUUAUCCGGAUUUAUUGGGUUUAAAGGGAGCGUAGAUGGGUUGUUAAGUCAGUUGUGAAAGUUUGCGGCUCAACCGUAAAAUUGCAAUGGAUACUGGCAGGCUUGAUGACAUGUGAGGGAGGUGGAAUUCGAGGUGUAGCGGGGAAAGGCUUAGAUAGCACGAAGAACACCGAUGGCGAAGGCAGCUUCCUAAACCGCCACUGACAUUGAUGCUCGAAAGUGUGGGUAUCAAACAGGAUGAGAUACCCCAGUAGUC
rnacentral:rRNA from 1 species